rnacentral:rRNA from 1 species
UACGUAGGGUGCAAGCGUUGUCCGGAAUUAUUGGGCGUAAGAGCUCGUAGGCGGUUUGUCGCGUCUGCUGUGAAAACCCGAGGCUCAACCUCGGGCCUGCAGUGGGUACGGGGCAGACUAGAGUGCGGUAGGGGGAGAUUGGAAUUCCUGGUGUAGCGGUGGAAUGCGCAGAUAUCAGGAGGAACACCAAUGGCGAAGGCAGAUCUCUGGGCCGUAACUGACGCUGAGGAGCGAAAGCAUGGGGAGCGAACAGG